UACGACUACAUAUCAGGCAUAUCAAUAAGCGGAGGAAAAGAAACUAACAAGGAUUCCCCUAGUAACGGCGAGCGAAGCGGGAAGAGCUCAAAUUUGAAAUCUUAAAGGGUUUCCCUUUACGAAUUGUAGUUUAAAGAAGUGUUUUCUGUUGGAGUUUCGGUAAAAGUUCUUUGGAAUAGGACAUCAUAGAGGGUGAGAAUCCCGUAUUUGACCGUUACUUUCCAGCUGUGUGAUACACUUUCAAAGAGUCGGAUUGUUUGGGAAUGCAGUCCAAGAUGGGUGGUAAAUUUCAUCUAAAGCUAAAUAUUGACGAGAGACCGAUAGCGAACAAGUACCGUGAGGGAAAGAUGAAAAGAACUUUGAAAAGAGAGUUAAACAGUACGUGAAAUUGUCAAAAGGGAAGCGUUUGACACCAGUGUUGUUUUUCCGAAAAUCAAUUAUAAGAGUGGUUUGAUUUCUGAGUAGUGAUGACCUUCAUCAGCUUCCUUCAUCUCUUCACGAGUCUUUUGUAAUGCACUUUUCGGUUAACAAGUCAACAUCAAUUUCUUUUGUUGUAAAAGGGUAUUCGGAAGGUGGCUUUCUUUUCGGAGAAAGUGUUUAUAGCCCUAUACUUCUACAAUCGGAGAGAUUGAGGUCUGCAGCGUAGAUCCUUCGGGGUUAGAUACAUUUGUGCUAAGUUACAACCGUUUAUAGACAACUUGUUGACUAUAUUCGAUCCUGUAGCUUACUCGCUUAUGUAAUUUUACCUACGCUUAGGAUGUUGAUCUACAGAGCGAGAGU
rnacentral:rRNA from 1 species